rnacentral:rRNA from 1 species
UACGAAGGGGGCUAGCGUUGCUCGGAAUCACUGGGCGUAAAGCGCACGUAGGCGGAUUGCUAAGUCAGGGGUGAAAUCCUGGAGCUCAACUCCAGAACUGCCUUUGAUACUGGCGAUCUCGAGUCCGGGAGAGGUGAGUGGAACUGCGAGUGUAGAGGUGAAAUUCGUAGAUAUUCGCAAGAACACCAGUGGCGAAGGCGGCUCACUGGCCCGGUACUGACGCUGAGGUGCGAAAGCGUGGGGAGCAAAGCAG